rnacentral:rRNA from 1 species
AUGGCGGCCCCGAGCUCGGAGUUGCUUAGGCUGUGCUCGCCCACGAGUCUGCUCCCGCCUUUAUCUCUGGUGAAGCCACCGGGGUUCAAGGCCUCGCCCACGCCUCCACUCAUCUCCGUUGGGCCGCUUCUGCGCACGCCCUCACCGGUGCGGCACUGCAGGUCUGCCGCGGACCUACAGCCGACGGGUGUUGGCCUGGCUCUGCUGUUCGAAGAAAGGCAGGAGCCCCUGCUGCCCUCCCCUGCAUCAACGCCUCCAAGACCCCCUCCUGCGCGCCGCAAGACCCUUGCCGGUGUGAACAUAGUCAGGACAAGCGCUGGGCUCUCCCUGCACAGGACCGGUGCGAGGCUAAAAGCUGCUGGCAAAUCUAGGAUGCCGCCGGCGCCAGCGGCCAAGGCGGCUGAGAUCUUGGUUUGUCGUAGUCUGGGAAUCGUCAAGGACGGAGAAGACAUCACAUCUGCGGCUCUGGAUGCAUUUGCAGAGCGUUUCAAGGAGAAGCUGCCACAGGAAGUGAUCUCAGCCAUGCGGGAGUUAUUCAAGCUUGAUGAUGUGCAAGCUACAGAUGUUGAGGAUGCACUCAUCCAGCAUGGUGGAGCGGGUGCCAUGGAUGUGGAGAGGAUGGAGGACGCUGCUGCUGCUCUACAGGCGUUCAAUUGA